ensembl:lncRNA
GGCUCGUGCUGGAUCUCACAGCUGUGUUUAAUCUGUGAUUGCUCUUUCUUCCGGUGCAGAGGAGCGCGUGUGAUUUCGUUCCGCUUUUGGAGUUUGGACACUUCUCAUGCACAAUAGAAAUAAAUGGCAGCACUUGUGUGGCUCCCGUGCGACCGAUAACAAACUUCAGUCUCACCGGCAGAAAAAAAAAAAGAAAAAAAAAAACAUUUGCAAAAUAUGAGCGAAUAGUCUGGAUCCCUGCCACUUCAGAGAACCUGUCAGACUUGUUGAGCGUAGCUUUCUUAGCAAAACAAAAGGCAGGACACAGCUACUUUUAAAGCGUUUUCUAAACUAACUGAUCAUCAGCAAAAACGACUUGUCUUUAUGUUCUUAGUUUUGUUUAUACGGGUAACUUGAGUAAAAGAUAUUUAAAGUUAGGCUACAUUUGGUUUUAGGUUGCAUGAUGAAAUUAACCAAGACGAAAACAAACUCGCUCCUCACACUGAUUCUGCUGUUUCACACCAUGUCUGAGCAAGCAGGAGCUUCUCAUGAUGAUGAUGAUGACGAGGUGAGGAUCCUGAUGGUGGGAAUCCGAGGUCAGUCCAGAUUCAGUGCUGCAGAUCUUCUGUCAGGAAGGAAAGACGGUGGACAGGAGGACAGAGAGAUUGUAAAGACUCCAGUAAUUACAGACGAGGCUCGUAGAAUGAUGCUGAUCACUGGACCGAACCUCUGUGAGGAGGACACAGAGAGACAGACCUUCACAACAGCGCUGUUUCUCUCGUCUCCUGGACCUCACGCCGUUCUAAUGCUCCUGAAUCUGGAAGAUCAACAAUCACAACAGUGUGAUAUUGUGAAACGAGCUCAGGAGCUGCUGGGAGCAGAAGUCCUGCAGUACUGCAUUGUUCUUCUGCUGCAAAAUCACCAGGAACCUUUCACAGGAGCCUCCAGAGAAAUGAUCGAUGCAUGUGGAGGAAGAUUUCUCAUCAUAAGAGACUCUGAACCUAAACCUGCUCAAAGAGCAGCUCUCGUAGCAGAAAUACACAAGUUAGUUUGGCUCAACGAUCACAGAUUUUACUCAGUAGUGACUCAAGGGUUGGAUGCAGAAGAGUCCAGUCAAAGUGUGCAUGAAGAAAAUAAGAUGCUCUCUGAAAAACAUGACAAUUCAGCAGGAACUGCACGAUGGAUUUUACUAAUUUUACUGAACACUGCUUUUAUUUUCACUAAAGUAAGACAUGAACAUUUUCAUUUUGCGGAAAUACUCUUCGUGCUUGUUAUUUUUACCGUCACUUUAAGAGAGACUCUCAAUCCAGAUGUUUCUGUUCCUUUAAAUUUGAUUGUAUCCUCAACUUUCACAGUAGCCUCUGCAUAUAAAGACUUCGCAAAUUCACGACAUGGACACCAAAUCAUAAUGUUUUUAGUCAUGAUCUUUACAUUUCCCAGUAUAGUGUUCAUAGCCGGUCUAGGACUGACUGUAGGAACAGCGGUCAGUGUACGGACGUGGUCAGAUGUGAUCAUAGCGUGCCACGCUGCUCCCGGAGUCACAUUCGGGGCUCAUUUAUACACGGUUUACUCCAUUAUACCUGAUCAAAUGCAAGCUCGUACAACUCUCAUUUUUGCACUCAAGUUAUUCCUGUUCUGUUUCGUUGGAGUGACGAUCUCGAUGGGGUUUGUGACUGUAUUUGCUCUGUUUGGAGUGAAGAUGACAAUAUUUCUGCUAAUAUUAGGAUUUACAAAAAUGUAUUUCCAUUUAAGGAGUCUUUCUCUGAAACUGUUUAUUUUUUUCCUGCUUUUUCCAUGCUGUUGUGUAUUUAUUGGUUCUUUAAUUUCAUUUUUAUACAGUUUAUUAUUUCAUUAUAUUUUAACAGUAAUUUGAAACCGAUAAUAGUGACUAAAUCACAAGAGACACUUACAGAUUUUGGAUCAUAAGUUAAUGCUGAUAUUGAUAUUGAUGUUUCUUCAACUAUGGGUAUUUUUGGCACUGUGUACUUUCAGGAAAUAAUCUCUCUUACAACCCAUCUUAUUUCUUUACUAACGAGCAUUUAACAUCAAUAAAGACAUCACAGGAAAAUCUUGAACAUUUACUGUGCAAUGUCAUUUCCAC